rnacentral:rRNA from 1 species
GGCUCUUGGGUUGUAAACCUCUUUUCUCAGGGAAUAAGCAAGUGAAGGUACCUGAGGAAUCAGCAUCGGCUAACUCCGUGCCAGCAGCCGCGGUAAUACGGAGGAUGCAAGCGUUAUCCGGAAUGAUUUGGGCGUAAAGCGUCCGUAAGGUGUAGGAUACGCUGUGUGUGUCUAUUGUUAAAGAGUUUGGCUCAACCCAAAUAAAGGGGCGGUAGAAACUACACAGACUAGAGUGCGUUCGGGGCAGAGGGAAUUCCUCGGUGUAGCGGGUGAAAUGCGUAGAGAUCAGGAAGAACACCGGUGGCGAAAGCGCUCUGCUAGGCACCCC